GACGAACGCUGGCGGCGUGCUUAACACAUGCAAGUCGAGCGGUAAGGCCCUUUCGGGGGUACACGAGCGGCGAACGGGUGAGUAACACGUGGGUGACCUGCCCUCAGCUCUGGGAUAAGCCCGGGAAACUGGGUCUAAUACUGGAUAUGACUCCACGGUGCAUGCCGUGGGUGGAAAGCCUUGUGCGGCUGAGGAUGGGCCCGCGGCCUAUCAGCUUGUUGGUGGGGUGAGGCCUACCAAGGCGACGACGGGUAGCCGGCCUGAGAGGGCGACCGGCCACACUGGGACUGAGACACGGCCCAGACUCCUACGGGAGGCAGCA
rnacentral:rRNA from 1 species